GGAAAGUGCAAGGUGGCGUGGAAACUGGUGUGCACCCCAACGGAGAAGGGUGGCUUAGGGCUGCCAGACUUGCUCCGGCUCGGCACGGCCCUCAGGUUGCGCUGGCUAUGGGCGUCUUGGCAGCACCCGAUGAGGCCCUGGACGGCUUCCCCCCUGCCUUGCAAUGACGCAGACCGAAAGCUGUUCACUGCCGCCACAAAGAUCAUCGUCGGUGACGGCUAG
rnacentral:rRNA from 1 species